CAAGAGGUAGUUUAAUUAAAAUUUUAAUUUUGGAGAUUAAAGAAAAAGAGGUUCUUUCUUCUUGA
rnacentral:tRNA from 1 species